rnacentral:rRNA from 1 species
UACGUAGGUGGCAAGCGUUGUCCGGAUUUACUGGGCGUAAAGGAUGCGUAGGCGGAUACUUAAGUCAGAUGUGAAAAUCCCGAGCUUAACUUGGGAACUGCAUUUGAAACUGGGUAUCUAGAGUGUGGGAGAGGAAAGUGGAAUUCCAGGUGUAGCGGUGAAAUGCGUAGAUAUCUGGAGGAACACCGGUGGCGAAGGCGGCAUCCUGGACCGGUAUUGACGCUGAGGCGCGAAAGCCAGGGGAGCAAACGGG